ensembl:lncRNA
CCCGAGCGCACAGUGGAGGACAGACAGCGGGCUCCGUGCAGAACAAAGAGGUUCUGUGGAGCAGCCCGAGCAGAGGGCAGCGCUGGGGAGGGAGCACUCAGAGAGAAAGGGAGCCCUCGGAGCGUGGGCCGGCCCGCCCGGAAGUGCAGCGCAGCGGCAUCGAAGGUCUCCCUAAGGCAGCGAGGAGCCAGCGGGUGGGGCGCCAGGAGGCUGGCACGACCCCUGGGAGGCAGGCCAGGGUCCUCUCCUUUCUGCUGCUGCUGCUGCUGCUGCUAAGUCACUUCAGACGUGUCCGACUCCGUGCGACCCCAGAGAUGGCAGCCCACCAGGCUCUCCCAUCCCUGGGAUUCUCCAGGCAAGAAUACUGGAGUGGGUUGCCAUUUCCUUCUCCAAUGCAUGAAAGUGAAAAGUGAAAGUGAAGUCACUCCGUCGUGUUUGACUCUUAGCGACCCCAUGGACUGCAGCCCACCAGGCUCCUCCGUCCAUGGGAUUUGCCAGGCAAGGGUACUGGAGUGGGGUGCCAUUGCCUUCUCCACCUCUGCUUUCUAAGGAGACCUGGAGCUGAUCCCUGGGUUGGGAAAAUCCCCUGGAGGAGGAAAUGACAACCCACUGCAGUGCUCUUGCCUGGAGAAUCCCAUGGACAGAAGGGUCUGGCGGGCUACAGUCCACGGGGUCACAAAGAGUCAGACACGACUGAGCGACUUCACUUCACUUCACUUUCCCCUCUGGUGACCGGAAGUUUUUUUCCUAUGUCUGUGAGUCUGUUUCUGUUUGAGUUAUAUUUUAUUUUUAAUUAAUUAUGAGAAAACUACAUCUUUAUAAUAAUGAUUUUUUACAUUUGGGAACAUAGCGUACCUUUCCAUUUCAUUAAAUGAAAAUGUUUUGGUUGUUUGUUAUGAGUUCUGUAUGCUUCUUAAAUUUAUUCCAAGACAAUUUAUAUACUAUAAUGAAUAUGAUAUUUUUUCCCUUUAAAAUUUCCAACCAGUGGUUGCAAACAGGUAGAACACCUCCUGGUUAAUGUUUUUCACCGUAAGUAGCCUACUGAGCACAAACUAUCUUAAUAGUCUCAGUAGCAUUUUCAAUGUAUUCUCUUUCAAUUUACUUCUUACAAAACUAAGCAUACUCUUACCAUACAAUCCAGCGAUCAUUCUCCUUGCUAUUUACCCAAAGGAGCUGAAAACUUAUGUCUCUGCAAAAAUGUGCACGUGAAUGUUUAUAGUCAUUUCAUUCUUAAUUGCCAAAACCUGGAUGCAACAAAGAUGUCCUUCAGUGGAUAAAUAAACUGUGGUGUAUCUAGACAAUGGAAUGUUGCAAAGUGUGAAAACCACUCAGUCAUGCCCGACUAUCUGCGACCCCAUGGACUGUAGCCCUCCAGGCUCCUCUGUCCAUGGGAUUCUCCAGGCAAGCAGACUGGAAUGGGUGGUGGUUCCCUUCUCCAGGGGAUCUUCCUGACCCAGGGAUCGAACCCAGAUCUCCAGCAUUACAGGCCGAUUCUUUACCAUCUGAGCCACCAGCGAAGCCCAAUGGAACAUUAUUCAACGCUAAAAAGAAAUGAGCUGUCAAGCCAUAGAGAGACGUGGAGGAAAUUUAAAUGUUGAUGACUGAGCGACAGAAACCUGUCUGCAAGAGGUUACACACUGUGAUCCCAACCACACAACAUCCUGGAAAAGGCAAAACUCAGAAGACAGCACAGAGGCGGGUGGUGGCCAGGGACUGGGGCAGGGGCCUAGGUGGAUAAGCACAGAGGAUUUUCAGGGCAGGAGAACCACUCCAUAUGACGCCGUAAUGGAUACGCAUACAACCCACAGUGUUCAGCACCAGAGUGAACCCUGCUGUGAACUAUGGACUUUGGGUGAUGAUGGUGUCAAUGUAGAUGCAACCUUGGUUUAAAACAAACAAACAAACAAAACCUUCUGCUGGGUGCUGGGGGAAGUUGGUAAUGGGAAAAGUUAUGCAUGAGUGGUUAAUGCUUUUGAACUGUGGUGUUGGAAAAGACUCUUGAGAGUUCUUUGGACUGCAAGGAGUGCAAACCAGUCAAUCCUAAAGGAAAUUAACCCUGAAUAUUCAUUGGAAGGACUGAAACUGAAGCUCCAAUCCUUUGGCCACCUCACUCGAAGAGCUGACUCAUCGGAAAAGACCCUGAUGCUGGGAAAGAUUGAAGUCAGGAGGAGAAGGAGACGACAGAGGAUGAGAUGGUCGGAUGGCAUCACCCACUCAAUGGACAUGAAUUUGAGCAAACUCGGGGAGACAAUGAAGGACAGAGGAACCUGGUGUGAUGCAGUCCAUGGGGUCGCAAAGAGUUGCACACGACUCUUUGACUCAAUAGACUGAACAACACCAACAGAUGCAUGAGUGGGGCAGCAGGUACAUGGCAAAUGUCUGCAUGUGCCCUUCAGGCUUGCUGUGACCCAAAACUGCUCUAAAGAAAAUAAUCUGUUAAAGAAAACUAUCCCUUCCCUGGAGGUUUAAAAGAAUUUGCUGCUAAAACUCUCAGACUUAUGUUUCCAGUUUGGUAGUAACUCUUUUAACAACAUGAACAAUUUAUUCCCAGGACAUCAAUCCAUCCAUGCUUCAGACCUCUUAUUGAGCCUGUUUUGUGUAUCUGUAUUCUCCCAGGAAACAAUUCAGUGUGUGAAAAAUCCACACAUUUACAGGCAGAGAAUUACAUUACGGUCAUACUCAUUCUCAGGUUUACUCUUAAUAACGACAUCUCCAUGCUUGGAUCUCAUCUUCUAACACGAUAUAUUUGUAUUUUCCAAUGCUGUACAUUUCAUUUCUUUGUAUUUCAUUUUUUGGAUGUCUUUAUCAUUUCUUCCCAAGCAGACAGCUCAUGCUAAUUUCUGCAUGUCAUUUGCUUUCCCUGCUUUCUUGCUUUGUGCUCGUGCUUGUUGUCUUUGCUCCUGUCUUAGCUUCUUGCAUGUCUGGCAUAUUCGUUUACCUUCUUCUGUAUGUUAAUGAAUGAGCUGAACCCUACAAAUGUUCAUGGAUACUACUAGGGGCACUCCCAUGGACUUAAUAACACACAGGGCUUCGUCCAUCCUAACGCAACAGUAAGUGCCAUUUUUAUCCCUUCUUUCAGGCACCUUGUUUAUUAAGUGACUCUUAACUUCUAGGAGGUUCAGUUGUUGUUGUUGGGUAGCUAAGUCAUGUCUGACUCUCUGCGACCUCAUGGAUGGUAGCACGCCAGGCUCCUCCAUCCUCCACUAUCUCCUGAGUUUGGGGCUAAAACAUUUAGUCAAGUUGGAGGCAGCAUUUCAUCCUGAUCUUCAUGGAUGAAGAAGGAGGGGAAGGCAGAGGGUACCGCCUGAAGGGAGACAGAAAGCUGAGCACAGUCAGGGCAGAUUCAGAGCCCAGGGAACCUCAGUCUCAGCCCCAGGGAAGGAGGACCCACCAGGGUCUGGACCCCCAGACCAGUCCUUGCCAACGUUCAUGGAGAUCGCUGAUUAGAACCAGGUAGCUAUUUCUCCCUCCCUGCCUCUCUCUCUCAUCCCCUCUCUCCUUCUCCCUGACUGCCUCUCUAUGUCUAUCGCUUCUGAAAAAAUAAAGGGAAAAGUUUCUCUAAGAAAAGUAAAAAGCACCUUUUUUAAAAUCUUAAAGCAAAGCUCUAGAGUUGGAGGCGUUCCAGAGAAGACUCUCAUCCCCUCCACACGACACAGACUUGCGUGUCUUGGGAUCUUCUGCCCAGACAGGGACAGACAGCACAACUCGGUGACGGCCGGCGAGGACUCAUGGAUGGCCACGGCCUCCCCGCCGCCUGCAGCAGCCCCCUAGGUGUCUGCCGCCCCUCGGGGCUGCCACGCUGGCACCGAUCAGAGUUAUCCUAAUGAUCAAAGCGACUCUAAAACAAGGUGCGUCCCAAAGUCUCCCUUUGGACCAGUCCUCCUUCCAAGCAAGCGGCCAUCUCGACCAUGGUUUCUGUGGCCCAGGGGAGGAGGAGGGGCAAGAAGGGCAUCGUCCACAGAGCAAGCGCUUCCCUCGGAGCUGAAGGGGAAGCCACCCCUGCCCCUGGGGCCAAGACACCUACCAACCCUGCGGCUGGGACUCCAAGGCCAAGACUCGGGCACCCUGCAACAUCACACACCCCUCAAAACACCAGCCACCGAUGUCCCACCCUGGUGGUUUAAUCAUUUCUUCAAAACAAUGCAAAUAGAAAACAAAGUUAUUUUGACCAGCUCAGCGGCUGAAAGGCCUUGAGCCUUUCAGACAAUAGAAGAAAGACUGCAAACAGAGAGGAGAGAAAACAUGAUUAAAUCACGGAGGUGACAUUAAAUCAAUAGAAGCAGCACAAGAUCGAUCCUCCCUCCCUCCAGGGAGCGGCGGCGGGCUCGUGCGUGUUUUCAGAUGGUUCCAAGAUUGCUUCCCAUCUGAACUGUGCAGAUAGAGACUCUGGGGGGGAGGGACGUGGUAGGGGAACUGCUAUUUCCCUAAAUGUCUAAUUGGAUUCUUGAAGGAUGGUUAUAUGUUUCUGGCUUGAUCCAGCAGUUCAGCCAAUCAGUUCCAGCCCCGUGCACACAUGAGACGCCAAUACCAAUAACAGCAUGGGCAGCUGGGCAAUUACCAGACAAAAGCGACUCUGGGCGAACCAAUCGGAAAAUGAAGGCGCUGCGAUUCGCCACCAGGACGACCAGGCGGUUGGAAAUCCAGGUCAUGCAAACAAUUCCCUCUCGACGGCCUGGCUCUGCGUCAUUUAACAUCACGGACGGUCCACAGAGCAGACUCCAAGCUGCAGGAUGGCCAACUCCAUGAAUCCAUGCUUCAGUCAAGGAAGCAUCAGCAAAGAGGAAAUGUCCCACUAAAAAGAGGGUCCCAGCGUUCCAGCACUGACUGUGCUGCUAACUCACAGAGGACCUGCACCCUCUAGGUUCUCUUCCUUCCUCCUUUUCAUCUCUGCGAUGAGGCUGCAAAAGCCCACGGUCUUAACAUCUUCUUUACCCUCCAAAAUUCUGCCUCUAAAAACUGGACUAAAAUUCCUGUGAGUCAUCUGUGCUUGGUGAUAACCUAUCAGCUAUCGGGACCCAUUCAAGCACUCUGGACAAAUCAUACCUAAAGAGUACUAGACACAGUGAAACAAAAUGUUUUCUCAGUAAAAAAAAACACACACACACACAUACAGCAGAAGCAGCAUCCUGCCAUUGAUCUGAGCACGGAACGGUGGCAGGAUAUGGCCACGGGUUUACAUUUGUUAUUAAUAGGAAGGCUGAAUUUUCAGGACAAAAAUAACAUUAUCCUCGGAACUAAGGAAAUGCGAAGCUGUAAAUAAAACAUAGGCAGUUGCCAGUUGAGAUAGUGUAUCCAAUACUACUCUUCAAAAGAUUUUCACUCCUUGGGACUCGGUGACUGUUCUAGACAAAAACACUCCUGCAUUCCAGUCUGGGGAGGGGGUAGCUGUAAUUUGGCAACACGAAACCUGGGCUGAUUGUCCAGAAAUACUGAAAAUGGAUUAAGAGGAGUGCCAUUCUGCGAGGAGUGGAGAGAAGGAGCAUCGGUCUACCCACGAGCGGCCCCUGGUUGCCCAGGAGGGGCAAAGACCAGCUAAAGUGCUGGGGGCAAUGCCACCCAGCCUCCCUGCUGGGGAGGGUCAGGACUCCACAGCCAGCCAGAUGGGAGGAGGGGUGCAGGAAAGACGGGAGACCAGGCGCCCAGGCCCCCAGCCAAAGUCCCUGUCAUCCGAGACCAGAGGCAAGAGCUGCCGCCUCCCUGCCCAUCUCCUCCCAGGCAGCAGAUACGCUCACCUGCUUCCCCAGUCACUGGAGGCCAGACACCCCAACAGGGUGCUGAGAGGUCAACUUGCCUCCGAUGGGCUUGCUUCAGGUCAUGCUUAUAUCCAUUCUUAUCUUUUAAAAAAAAUUGGCAUUUUAAGCAUUCUGGACCGUAUCGUCUAUGGGCACAUAGAGCUCGAUGUUACCCUUCUAAUAAUUCUCCAAAACGCAGCAUUUUGUGAAUGAUGAGAUGCUUAGUAUCCAUCUGAGUGAUUUUUUUUAACUUAUUGGCCUUUGUGUGUAUAUGUACACAAUGGAAUAUUACUCAGCAAUUAAAAAGAAUUCAUUUUAAUCAGCUCGAAUGAGGUGGAUGAAACUGGAGCCCAUUAUACAUAAUGAAGUUAAGUCAGAAAGAAAAACACCAACACAGUAUAUUAACAUAUAUAUGGAAUUUAGAAAGAUGGUAACGAUGACCUUAUAUGCGAGACAGCAAAAGAGACACAGAUGUAAAGAACAGACUUUUGGACUCUGUGGGAGAAGGCAAGGGUGGGAUGAAUUUGAGAAAAUAGCAUUGAAACAUGUAUAUUAACCACAUGUGAAACAGAUCUCCAGUCCAGGUUUGAUGCAUGAGACAGGGUGCUCAGGGCUGGUGCACUGGGAUGACUCUGAGGGAUGGGGUGAGGACGGUGGAGGGAGGGGAGUUCAGGAUGGGGGACACAUGUACACCCGUGGCUGAUUCAUGUCAAUGUAUGGC